AUUGAACGCUGGCGGAAUGCUUUACACAUGCAAGUCGAACGGCAGCACGGACUUCGGUCUGGUGGCGAGUGGCGAACGGGUGAGUAAUGUAUCGGAACGUGCCCAGUCGUGGGGGAUAACGUAGUGAAAAUUACGCUAAUACCGCAUACGAUCUAUGGAUGAAAGCGGGGGAUCGCAAGACCUCGCGCGAUUGGAGCGGCCGAUAUCAGAUUAGGUAGUUGGGGGGGUAAAGGCCCACCAAGCCAACGAUCUGUAGCUGGGCUGAGAGGACGACCAGCCACACUGGAACUGAGACGCGGUCCAGACUCCUACGGGAGGCAGCAGUGGGGAAUUUUGGACAAUGGGCGAAAGCCUGAUCCAGCCAUUCCGCGUGCAGGAUGAAGGCCCUCGGGUUGUAAACUGCUUUUGUACAGAACGAAAAGGUUUCUACUAAUACUAGGAGCUCAUGACGGUACUGUAAGAAUAAGCACCGGCUAACUACGUGCCAGCCGCCGCGGUAA
rnacentral:rRNA from 1 species